rnacentral:rRNA from 1 species
UUUUAGCAUGGAAUAAUGGAAUAGGACGUGUGGUUCUAUUUUGUUGGUUUCUAGGACCGCCGUAAUGAUUAAUAGGGACAGUCGGGGGCACCAGUAUUCAAUUGUCAGAGGUGAAAUUCUUGGAUCUAUUGAAGACUAACUACUGCGAAAGCAUUUGCCAAGGAUGUUUUCAUUGAUAAGGAACGAAAGUUAGGGGAUCGAAGACGAUCAGAUACCGUCGUAGUCUUAACUAUAAACUAUGCCGGCCAGGGAUCGGACGAUGUUAUUUCUUGACGCGUUCGGCACCUUUCGAGAAAUCAAAGUGCUUGGGCUCCAGGGGGAGUAUGGUCGCAAGGCUGAAACUUAAAGAAAUUGACGGAAGGGCACCACCAGGGGUGGAACCUGCGGCUUAAUUUGACUCAACACGGGGAAACUCACCAGGUCCAGACACAGUGAGGAUUGACAGAUUGAGAGCUCUUUCUUGAUUCUGUGGGUGGUUGUGCAUGGCCGUUCUUAGUUGGUGGAGUGAUUUGUCUGCUUAAUUGCGAUAACGAACGAGACCUUAACCUGCUAAAUAGCCCGUACUGCUUCGGCAGUUCGCCGGCUUCUUAGAGGGACUAUCGGCUCAAGCCGACGGAAGUUUGAGGCAAUAACAGGUCUGUGAUGCCCUUAGAUGUCCUGGGCCGCACGCGCGUUACACUGACAGGGCCAGCGAGUACCUCCUUGACCGAAAGGUCCGGGUAAUCUUGUUAAACUCUGUCGUGCUGGGGAUAGAGCAUUGCAAUAAUCACU